AUGAAAAUAGGCUUUUGGUUUGUACUUAAAGACGGUGAGUCUCUGGUUGCAGCCCAAAGGCAUCCGAGCUCCAGGGAUACAAAUGGAGGACCAUCCAGAGAGGGGUUAUUAAAAAGGGCUCCAAGGCAGGAGGAGAAGGAUAGAAGAGACACCAGGUCAAGCAGAAUGAAGCCAGAUGAUCAAGUCAUGAAGAAGGACAACAUUCCUGACACCAGCAAGGGGAAGGCCCUUCUUCCUCUAGAGAAAAAGGCCCCUGCUCCAUCCAGCCUUGAAGGCCAUUCUGCUGCUCUCUAGGUGAGUGGUGUUUAUUUUCUUAUCAACAAAACACAAUUCAGGGGCACGGUUGAAAGAGAAAAGCCCCACAGCUGGCUUUCUGUACAAAAGGCAUUGACAUAAAGACCAAAGUAAAUGUUAGCAUCCUGGAAAGAGCAGCAGGUGUUUUAAAUACAAGAAUAGCCUCUGGGGAGAAUUGUGACCACCUGCUAAGCAGCAUCUACUCAGAAUGCAUCUGAAAUGAUCAUUAGAGGGCCACUUUCUGACUUCUAUGUGCAUCUAUCAUGGGUCUUUUGGCUCGGUCUUUCUUUGCAGGGGAUUUCUGGGUAAUUUCUGAUGUUUUUGUAACCAGAUUCUUGCUCACCAUUGUGUGCUGAGCAUUUAAUACCUAAUAGGAUGCUUGGCACACCGUAGGUGAAUACGAUUUUGGAGUGAAAUAAAUGAACAAAGUGUGCUAUUGAUUGUAAAACUGGAAUCAUAACAUCUGCUGUUUCCCACAACACGGAGUUCAAGGUUUUCGUCUGGUAAUUGAGGAAAAACUUGGGCUCAAAGCAGAGGCCUUGGCCCCAGUGACAGAGCUAGUCUAUUACUCAGCAGGCUGCCCAGAAUGUUUGCAGGUGUUGGGCUGCAGCCCAUAGGCCUGCAAGCUUUGCAACUGACCAGCCUCGAGACCGUGACAGAGACAAUCCAUGGCUUAUUGAACAGGGGAACUUACACAAAGGGUCCUGGAGUGAUACCCACUGUAUACAGCAAACGGCAGGCAGGACAUGGCAGCUAUAUUCCCUACUCCAGGGAGAAGAAAGCUGCCAUUUAUAGGGGGAACAGACAUCAGGUGGGUUCAUUAGUUACCAGGGGCUAAUGAAGCCCUAUAAUUAGGAGGAUUGGGUGGUCAUGAGAGUGGAGCAGCGGCUGUCCAGAGAGCAAGAUAUCAGCCAUCUUGAAGGGCCUGACCAUUCACCAGGUCUGUUAACUGAAGGCACCAUGUACUUACUGAUCCUAGAAGCAAAAGGAUCAUUGUGUCCAGGCAUGGAAAGUUUCCAAAGUUAGUGUUUGC
rnacentral:lncRNA from 1 species